CUUGCUUUUAUUUCCUCAAUAUAUUGCAGCAGUGUAACAAUUUCACUUUGAAUAUCUUUGUCCUAUAUAUAUAUUUGAUUAUUCAACUUAUGUGCUUGAAUCCAAUGUUUGUGCUUAAGUAUAAGAGAAGAUGUAUUUGCUGAAAAUAUGUAAAAACAAUAUCAUACUGGCUAUAUAAAGAGAAUCUUUGGUGGUUUGCUUCAAGAAUGUGUAACACGGCACCCAAUCUAGGAGAUGGCGUUGGAGAUGGCAUUGGAGAUGGCGUUGGAGAUGGUGUUCUGUCACCAACUGGGCCUAGAAAAUCCUUUGACGGAAGUAACUAUGAAAAUGGAGCAAACAAUAAUUAGUAAUUAUUGUUAGGAUGAACUAUGUUUUUUUGUGUUGUAACUAUUGAGUAACUCUCUUAACUCUAUGCACCUUAAACUUGAAUCUUGGGUGAUGUGUAUUUUGAGUAUGUUUUAAUGAUAUUUUGUUUAUCUAA